rnacentral:rRNA from 1 species
ACGGGAGGCAGCAGUGGGGAAUCUUAGACAAUGGGGGCAAGCCUGAUCCAGCCAUGCCGCGUGAGUGAAGAAGGCCUUCGGGUUGUAAGGCUCUUUCGGCCGGGAAGAAAUCGUGUUCUCUAACAUAGGACAUGGAUGACAGGUACCGGACUAAGAAGCACCGGCUAACUACGUGCCAGCAGCCGCGGUAAUAAGCUUGA